GGGAACUGUGAGACAGGUGCUGCAUGGCUGUCGUCAGCUCGUGUUGUGAAAUGUUGGGUUAAGUCCCGCAACGAGCGCAACCCUUAUCCUUUGUUGCCAGCGGUUAGGCCGGGAACUCAAAGGAGACUGCCAGUGAUAAACUGGAGGAAGGUGGGGAUGACGUCAAGUCAUCAUGGCCCUUACGACCAGGGCUACACACGUGCUACAAUGGCGCAUACAAAGAGAAGCGACCUCGCGAGAGCAAGCGGACCUCAUAAAGUGCGUCGUAGUCCGGAUUGGAGUCUGCAACUCGACUCCAUGAAGUCGGAAUCGCUAGUAAUCGUGGAUCAGAAUGCCACGGUGAAUACGUUCCCGGGCCUUGUACACACCGCCCGUCACACCAUGGGAGUGGGUUGCAAAAGAAGUAGGUAGCUUAACCUUCGGGAGGGCGCUUACCACUUUGUGAUUCAUGACUGGGGUGAAGUCGUAACAAGGUAACCGUAGGGGAACCUGCGGUUGGA
rnacentral:rRNA from 2 species